UACGUAGGGGGCAAGCGUUGUCCGGAUUUAUUGGGCGUAAAGAGCUCGUAGGCGGUUCAGCAAGUCGGGUGUGAAAACUCUGGGCUCAACCCAGUGACGCACCCGAUACUGCUGUGACUAGAGUCCGGUAGGGGAGUGUGGAAUUCCUGGUGUAGCGGUGAAAUGCGCAGAUAUCAGGAGGAACACCAACGGCGAAGGCAGCACUCUGGGCCGGUACUGACGCUGAGGAGCGAAAGCGUGGGGAGCGAACAGG
rnacentral:rRNA from 1 species